rfam:Cavia porcellus supercont2_9 genomic scaffold, whole genome shotgun sequence.
GGAUGUGAGGAUGAUCGGGUUGCCUAUCACCCUAUUGACUGCCAGGGUUGACUCAGCUGGUCUGGCUGGCCAAGCAGGUGUCCCUUUCCUCCCUCACUGCUCCAUAUGUUUCCCUCCCUAAGUUUUGAGAUCUCGCUAGAGGAAGACCAUUUCCUUGUUCAAGGGGGUAGCUGUGAUGUCCUGCUAGAACCUCUCAAGCUCUCAAGGGGCAUGGAUUGUGAUGAUUGGUUCAAAUGUCAACUCUGGGUAAAGCUUCAGACAGUUUAAACAUU